rnacentral:lncRNA from 1 species
AAAAAAAACACCAAGAAAAUUUAAAUGCAUGUAAAAUUUCGUAUGUAUGUUUAUAUUGUGAAAGAUAUCAAUUUAUUGAAAACAAAACCCUGUAUAUAUAAACACAUGUUGAUUUUUUUGUUUUAAUAGAUGUGUUUUAUUUUAUGUCUAUAAAAUAUGUAUUUAUUAUAUUUUCAUUUAUUACACUCUUAGAUUCUUUAAAGAAAUGGAACUAUACAUUUGAUUUGUUUUGCACCAUAAUAACAUUAUAUAAACUUGAAUAAUCUAAUUAAAAAAUUCUAAUUCACAUUAUGUUUUUAUAACCAUGCAUUAUAUUUAAUCUUGUUGAAUAUGCUUUGAAGUUUUACUUUAUAUUUUUUUUAUUCUACUGUGAUAUGAUAAUUUUUUUCAUGAAAAAUAACUUCUUCUCCAUAUAUACAAUAGCAUUCUUUUUUAAAAAUAUGUUUCAUAAAAAUAACUUAUUAUGCAUUACAAAUCAUGUUAAAGAUUGUCAAAACAUCUUCAAAUAACAAAACAAGAUAUUUUUUUCACUCUCAUAACAACACCAACAAAUAAAUUAAUGCACUAAUCAAGCUUUGUUUACUGUAUCAUACAUUUUUACUAUUAUUACUUGCUUGAUUAUCAGUAUAACAUUCAUCAUACAAAAC